rnacentral:lncRNA from 10 species
GUGAUUUCUUAGGACUUUAAUAGUAUAGCUGAUGUUAGGUCAUUAAUGAGGGCAGAUUUAAAAUGGAAGCCUGAGAAUGUGAUUUUAAGUGUAUUUUUUCUCCUCUAUAUAAGAGUUGUAAAAUGGAAAUCUAUCAAUUACCUGCUUAAGAAUCUCUCGUAGCUUCCUUUUGCCUAGCAUAUAAAAUCUGAACUGAAUCUUUUAUUCAAUAACUGACAUCAAUGUUUUCUUCUUUUCUCAUUCUUCUUAAUACUUUUUCAGCUCAAGUCAGACUAUUUUCAAGUCUGGAUUUUUUUUUCAGCCCUACCUUUGUAUUGUCAUCCAUAUUGUCUGUCUGCCUGAACCUCUUUAUUUUUCUAUCAACCCCUAUUUUUCUCCAUCUUAAAGCUCUAAUUCGUAGCCCUGCUCUAGGAGGCCCUCCAUGAUUGAUACUAACUGUGGCUGUUGUUUGGUUCUUGGCUUGGUUGGUUUUUAUUACUCUGGGCCCCCUCUUCUAGCUCUUUUAUUAAUACCUCAGAGAAUAGUUUGCAAAAACUAUGGCAACUUUACUAAUAUUUAGCUUUCAUCAUGGACUUAAUGGCAAAUGAGUGACAAACUUGUCUCCCUUGACAGUAGGCAUGAUUUCUGCUGCCUAUUGAAUUUCAAUGCUAUUGUGUUCUAUUUAAAAUUACUAAAACUCUCAUUUAUCUAUGAAGCCCUUAGCCCCACAGAUCUGCCUCAUGUGCUCAGUUUGUCUGUUUUAUAGUGUCUGUGCUCCUCAGGAGUCUAGAUAUUUUGGCCUGUGAAAACUUUCUCCCCUAGGGGUUUUGAUGACACCAUUUUAUGGUGAGGUGUCUCCUCUGGUAAGUUCUGAAUAUGGUGACACAUACAUUUAUUAAAUUAAUUUUUAAAAUUAGAAAUACAUAAACAUGUUAAAAAUCUCAACUGUUGUAUAGUGAAAUGCAAUCUUCCUUCCUCUUCUUCCUCCAGUCUCCUAGUUUCCCCGUCCAGAAGCAGUUACAGUUGUGUGCCACCUUCUAGAAAAAUUCACUGCAUAUACAAGAGAGGGGGAGAAAGCUAUGGAUUUUACUGGUUCACUUAAUAUAUUUGGAGCUUGUGUCCUAUCACUCAUAUUUUUAAGGACAUAUAGGAUUCCACUUUUUGAAUGUACCUUAAUUUCUUUAACCAGUUCUGUACUGAUGGGCAUUUAUCAUAUUAUCACUUUUCAUUCUUAUAAGCAGUACGUAUACAGUUUUGAAAAUGUAGAUGAUAUCUGUUGCAUAGACUACUAAAAAUAAAGUUGCUCAGCCAAAGGGAAGCACAUUUUAAAUUUUUAUGAAUUUGGGUAAAUUUCCCUUCAAUGAAGUUGCAUCAAUUUCCAUUCCCACCAAGAAUAUGUGACAGCUGUAUCUGGCAAACAUAUGUAUUUCCCUGGAACUUUGAUCUAUUUGAAAGAAGACUAGGAACACAUUUACAGUACUGUUACCAACAUCUUCUUCACUUUUGAUUUUUCUGUAAUUCUCCCUGCCAAAAUUUAACAGAACGCUGUCAUUUUCCUGACUCAUCGUCCUUUUAUUUCCACUUUGUAAAAAUGUCUGUGUUUGGUUUUAUGUUUUUAGGGGUGGCAUAGAAUCUUCCACCAGAACCCUGGAAGUGUAGGUCAGGAUGUUAGAAAUUCUUCUAAUAAAUAGUGUCCAGGAAACACUUCAUUAGAGUAAUUCUCUGGCACAGGGAGUCCUGGGUGGUGGCUCUUGUGACAAGCCCCUUUACCUAUGGUAUGUUGGAAAUUUAACCACAACCUUAGGGCAUGCAAUGAUUGUCUUUCCUUUAGGUGUUUAACUCAUAUAAUGUCUUAAAGAUAAAUGGCACCAGUAAUAUUUUAACAAUGUUCGGGUAUCCUUUGUUUCCAUAGUUACCUGGGUUUCUGUUAGCUUAAGACUUUAGAUGUGUAGCUUCAAACUCUGGGUUCUUCUUCAACUAGGUCAAGAGUUCACACAUUUUUCCACCCACUGGGCAGGCAAACCAAGUUGUAAUUGUUGCUUAUGAAGAGGAUCCUCAAAUGGUACAACACUCAAUUAGGUUAGAUUAAAUUCAGAGCAAUAAAAUAUUUCUGAGUAUGUUCUCAGAGAAACCCACAUCUUAGUUUUCCUUAUCUGAGAUCAUCUUUACCAGUUAAGAGGGCACACUUCAAAUAAUACAAACAUUCUUUAUAAAUUCAUUAUUUCCUAAAUCCCUUCCUAGUUUCAGUUUUGAUGAGCUCUUUUCAUAACUCUAGGUACUUUAGAUAUGCUUCUCUCAGCCUCGAUUUGGCUUUUAGGCUAAAGGGUUUUCCUAAUCACAGCAAGUGGGUCAAAAAUUAGGAUAGGCUUCCCAUGAAAGACUAAGUACAAUAAUUGAACAAAAGGGGUGAAAGUUGAUUAAAGUGAUGCGAGGAGUAAAUGGAUUCACUUUUACAGGAUCUUCUGAAAUCUGAGAUAAAGGACUGACUCCUUGGCUAAUCUCAGUGCAAUUACCUACUCAUGGAGAUCAAUACUUUUUUACUAUUAAAAAAUAGUGAAAAUUUUUAAGAUUGGUUAAGGAAGAGUAAUGUGUUAUUAGGGGAGGCAAGGAAAACUUAGAUCUAAUUUAGAUUUCUAUGAAAACAGUGGGCAUCAAUAGGAGAACAUAAAAAAGAGACGUGAGUAUUAGGAAAAUACCAAAAGGUUUGGUUAGAAACAAAUCCUCUUGUGAUAGGAGAUAAGACUGAAGACCAAACAGAAAUUAUAACUGCAUAGAUCUUGGUUUUAUUCAUUCAUUUGCUCAUUCAGCCUGUUCACUGGCUCCAACAUAGCUCUUGAUUCUAUCCCAUGUGACAUAUUCAUUGACCAACCAUGUGUUUUGGACAGAUCAGCAGCUAGAGAUCCAAAAACGACUGGUUAGAUGGAAUGUCUUAGGAAAUAGUGUCAUCAGUGGUGUACAAAAUGGUAUUAAACUUUCCCUGGAUGAUGGAUUAAAGAGAGAACAAAUUAAAGGCAUAGAUAUAGCCAUCUGCUAAUCAGGGUUUCACAAGGCAUCUGUACCUUAGGCCAUUCCUUUUGGGAUUUCCACUUGCAAAAAAUAUAGUGAAAUAAAACUUAAACUGAAUAGAAGAAAGAAUUUCUUAGACUCAUUCACAUUCAAUCAAUGUUUACUGAGUGCCUAAUAUGUGCCAAAUAUUAUACUAAAAUGCCGAGGAUACAGCAGAGGGACAAAAAUUCCCUGCAUUUGUGGUGCUUACAUUUUACUGAUACAGUUAAUGAAGAUCAUAAAAAUUUUAAACACUGGAGCAGUGAAGUGAGAUUAGGAAUCCCUGUGCCUUUAAAGAUUGAGAGACUAUCAUUUCCUUGGAAAGAAUUAUGUAUUAUCUUGCAUGUAUGUGUGAAGGCAAAUGAGUAAAGGAAAUGCUUCUUCAGCAACCUCUUUCAAUUCUCUAAAGUUAUUUUCAUUACCUAAAUAUUAAAGAGUGAGAAGGACUUGAGGGGAAAAAAAAUAAAGCUUUUUUUUUGUUGUUUUUUUGAGACAGGGUCUCACACUGUCACCAAGGCUGGAGUGCAGUGGUGCAAUCUCAGCUCACUGCAGCCUUGAUGUCCUGGGCUCAAUCAAUCCUCCCUCCUCAGCCUCCAGAGUAGCUGGGACCACAGGCAUGCGCCACCGUGCCUAGUUAAUUAUAAAACUUUUUUUAGAGAUGGAGUUUUGCUGUGUUUCCUAGGCUGGUCUCAAAUUCCUGUGCUCAAGUGAUAUGCCCACCUCAGGCUCCCAAAGUGCUGGGAUGACAGGCGCGAGCCACUGCACCUGGCCAAAAUAAAGCUUGACCUGAGUUGAUAUGAGGGUGAUGAGACUGAGUAAAAAGCCCAUAGGAUUCCAGCCUGUGUUCAUAAGAAGAAGCAUUUUAAUGGAGAGACUUUUUGUGAUGCGUGUACAGAGGACAUUAUUAGUGAAAUAACAGCAAACUUGCUAUUAAUGAGAUCUGCUCAAAAUCUCUAUGAGGUAGUGAAUGCCCCAUCAUGAAGAUUUUCAUGCAGAAUUGGGAUGACCUCUGUUCUUCAGACUCCAACAUACCAUCUUGAGAUAACCUCAGGCCCUGAAGUGUAUCGACAAGCAGAAUGAUCUCAGCCAAGUUGUAAAACUGUCUUUGAAAAGAAUAGCUGGAUGAAAAACAUUAGCAGCAACUGAAUCAAGAGAAAACGUGACUUCAAACUGAAAGGCACUCUCAUGGUAAAUACAUAGUAAAACCAUGUUCUGCAACUUCAUAUUUUCGUAAUGCUUUAAGCUACCCAAGGAGCCCAUGCAGAUAUGCAAAGCUACUCAUUGAGAAGCUCAGCUUAUCCCUACAUAUGCCAUCACCAGUUUUUCACUUAACGUUUUCUCCUCAACCCCUUUCUAUUUGGCUUCCAUUCUACUACUCACCAACCACCUUCAGUUUGCAAAAUCCUAUGCAGAUCUUACCUUAACUUUUCAGCAUCAUUCAGUAAGGUUAAAAACUUUUCCUUCUAGAUGGUUUUGGUGGCACCAGAGUCUUCUUGUUUUCUUCUUUCUUUUUUAGCUGCACUUUCUCAGUAGUAUUUGCUGGCUCUCCUUCCUUUACUCCAACUCUUACUGUUGUAGUUUCACUGAUCUUGGAUUGAGUUCCUCCCUUUGUUUUCCUAUUUAUACUCUCUGACUAAGGUUCAAAAUUGUCUUUAUCUGUUGUAAAAUCUGUGUUUCAAGACUAGAACUUCUCCUCUAAAUCCCAUCUAUCUGAUGACUGAUAGAUUUCAGACUGAACAUGCUUAGAAUAAAAUGCUUAGCCAUGGCUGUUCCCUGCUCCCUGGCCACAGUUGCCAUACACCUUCAUCCUUCCUCAGUUUUCUCAUGGUAAAUGUUACCAUCAUCCACUCAGUUAAUAAUACCUGAAACCAGGGAAAUGGUCCUGAAAUUAGUCCUUUUUUAAAUAUCACCUUCACAUGUAGCCAAUCAGCAAUUCCUACAAUUUAUAUUCCAGAAUAUAUGUCAAGUCCAUCUACUUUUUCCACCUCCACCGCUGUCACCUAGCUCAAGCCACCAUCAUCCUUCACCUAUUCUAUUGCAGUAGCCUCCUAGAAGGUCUCCUAGCUUCCUUUAUUAGCCCUGUACAAGCCAUUCUCUGCAUGGCAGCAGAAUAAUCUUUUAAAAACUGAAAUCAUACCAAUUACUCCUUACCCAAAAGUAUUGAAGGGUUCCUGUUGCAUGUUGAACAAAAUCUACACUCCUUAUCAUGGCCUAUGGAGUGCUUCAUGUUCCCAACCUUGGCAAUGUUUUUUAACAUGCUACCAGUUCUUUCUGUUUCUUACUAAGUCCAGCUCACAUUGACCUAACACACUAACCUCUUUCCUGUCUCAGGCCCUUUGCCCUUGCUGUUACCUCUCUUAGAACAUCCUUUGUUGCUUUGCAUAGCCCAUUCCUCCUCAUUCUUCAUUUCUCAGCUUAAAUGCCACUUCAUCAGAGACGCCUUUUUCAAAAACUUUACCUAAGUUUUUAUUUGUUUUUCUUUUUUCCUGAGCUGAUAGGAAGACAACUCUGUUAUCUUUAGGAUUUCAGAUGCUUUUAGAAUCAAACCUGGAAAGGAUACAAAAAGCAGAAGCAAAACCAACAUUUGGGAGAAGAACAGAUUAAGACAGUAGCUUAUAUUGAAACAUCACUUCUCAUUUGCUGUUUGGACAAUGGUGAUGGAACUGCUGCUUUAUUGCCCACGGAGAAGCGAAGUGAAGAGUCUAAAGUGGGUCUUGCAGUUACACUGGACAAAAGAAGUUUGAAACUGAGGCUUGGUCCUGAAGAAAACAUAGAGAAGCCUGACAGAUUAUAUAUAUUCACAGCUUUGACUUAAAGGUUGCUGGUUGACCAAUAAGUAAUACAAGAAGAAAUGGUCUUUUCUGGAAUUGUCCUUCUUUCCAGGUAUCAAUGGUGAGCAGAAGAGGAGCAGGGAAUGAUGAAAGACCACACAUUCUCCAAAAGUCACUAAGCACUGUCUGCAGAUGGAACAUUCAUAUUUUCACAUAGUAUAAGUCAUAUGAUCUUUGAUCCUCCAUGUAUUGCUAUCCAGCCAUUUACUUUAGAAUGUCAGCCUUUAUACUGAUAUCACACACAUGUUGUAAAAUGUAGUGAAGAUAAACGGGUGAAGUUAAACUUACAAUGCUUUUGCUGUUAUCCAUAAAAAUGCAAUAGGUAUUGCAUAGAAUUAGUUACAAGCACAAAACUGUGAUACCCUAUAUGCCCCUGUUACAAGAAAGUUGUCAUUUUACAUUAUGGGUAUUUAUUCGAUAUUUUCAUAGUUUAAUUACUAACAAAGCAUUAAUAAUGCCAGAUUGUGCUGACAAACAUUGCAGUCUCUGAAUAGGAGAAAGAAUAUAUUCUUUGCACCAUUAUACAAUGAUUUAGAACUUUAAUAGUGUGCUGGGGAAAAAACAUGUAUCUGUAACCUGAAAUAGUUGUUUUACCUCCCUGAGUACAAAAUAUGUCACACAUUCUCUCCUAAAUGUAUUCUCUAUUUUUACCAGUCAUUUUGUUGCUAAAAUGUAAGAUAUGGGGAUGGGAUGUGGGUGAUUGUCUCCGUCCUUUUGGGCUUCUAUAACUAAAAUACCUUAGACUGGGUAAUUUAUAAACAACAGGAAUUUAUUUCUCACAGUUCUGGGGGCUGGAAAGUCCAAGAUCAAGGCUGUGGUGGGGUUUGGCUGGCGAGGGCUCCAUCCUUCUUGCUAUAUCUUCACAUGGUGGAAGGAGCAAACAAACUCCCCCAGCCCUCUUUUACAAGGGCACUAAUAUUAUUUGUGAGGGCUCCACUCUCAUGACUUAAUCACCUCCCCAAAGACCCUACUUCUUAAUACUAACACAUUGGGGAUUAAUCUUCAACAUAUGAAUUUUGGAGGAACACAAACAUUCAGACCAUAGCAAUGUUUAUUGGGGUGAAUGCUCAUUUAACUUUUCCCAGAACAAUCCCUGUUAAGUCUGCUAACCUCCUGUAGUUAAUGAUAAAAUUUCCUUCAUUUUCCGAAGUGUUCUUGUUUGGAUUAUAAAUUAUGUAAUUACCCUAAUGACAAUUAACUAGACAUUUUUUUUCUUACUGUAUAGCACCAGUAUGGGCAAUUGCAGUGGCUUUCAAACUUGACUACAACUCAGGGAGAAAUACAUUUUUCAUCAUAACGUAGUACACACACACACACACACACACACACACACACACGCACACACACACACACAUACACUAGAUAAAGCAAAAGCUUUAGGAAAUGGUACUUGGAUAUUUUCAAAUAUAUUUUAGUCUGUUUUUUAAUUAAAAAUCUCUAGUCAUGAUACAUUAAAUUGACUUAUUGACCCACAGCUUGAAAAAACACCAAUAUUUUGGAUGUGUUUUAAGGUCAUAGAACACGCCUUCUGAUUUUUUUCCUUCCCUAGGUAAUCCUAUGCAAGUUGCCAAUCUUCUCUAAACAACACUCUUCUUCAUCUAUAAAGUAAAUAUUAAUACCUACCUGAAGGUGGCAGAGAGAGUUAACUGAGAUAAUUUGGUUAAUGAGCCUGAAAUCUAGUCAACACUUACUAAAGGUAAUUUCUUCUCCUCUCUUCCGCUUCUAAACCAACAGGACACAGCUGAAGUUCACAGGUUUGUAAAAGUGAAAAAAUAUUUUUCUUAACCCCCUGACCUCUAAAGUUUGGUCAGAGUGUUUAGCCACUGAUAAAACAUCUUUAAGCACUGUUACUUCUAUGUUCAACUAAAAGAGUCACUUUUCAGUAAUUUCCGGUCAAGCCCAUCACAAUAGCACUUGCAGCUUCUCAAAAGAAAAGAAAGAAAGAGAGAGAAAGAAAGGAAGAAAGAGAAUUGAAGGAGGAAAGAAGGAAAAAAAUCAUGAUGAAGAUUUUAAAACAUGUCUUAUUGAGGGAUGGGAUGGUGAGGAAGUUGAUUAUAGUGAUGGAUGUGACAGACAGGGCCCGUACUUCUGUUUCUGUUCUCAAACUAACAGUUUUCACACAUAACCGUUUUCACACAUAACACAUUAGUAGAAUUUCUUUUGAAUAUUUGCCUUGGAAAUAAAACAAUAAUAAUAUAGCAUUUAUUAUAUUUAUUAUAUAUAGAGUGUGUGUGUGUGUGUGUCUGUGUGUGUGUGUAUCCCACAUGUCCACAUGAGAAAUAAUGAAAGAAGAUGGAGCCCAAGUAAGAGAGUCCUGAUGCCCCAUAAUGCAGAGAGACAAAGAAGUGAUGAAAUCAAGUACUCUACCUCUGGGCCGCCAGAAUCCAGGCCUGGUUCCAGAGUCCUCUGGUUUUCACCGUGUUGGGGUGGGGCCUCCCCGGGUGCACAGCUUUUCUGCACUGGUUGGCAUCUACUGAACCUUAGGUGAUCACAGCAGUGGUAAAGACAAGCCAGCUUCCGUCUUUCCAUAGUUUGUUCCCCUGUACUUCAGGAGGGAGGGGAGCCCCUCUAUGGAAUGCAAUACACACUAGGCAUCCUAUCACUAUGUAAGAACUCAUCUUGCUCCCUCAUUUCACAUUACAUCUUUGACUGUCUUGCUCAGUUGUUUCACCUUGGCUAGUUUUUACUCUUUGGCGAGUACUCUCACAACUCUCUUGUAGGCAGGAGCCCAUUUUCUUUUUCUGAGUACUCUGGACUCCUUGCAUGGUGCUUCCUGGGCAAGGGGUGCUCAACAAAUUGUGCUGAUAAUUAAGUCAUUCACUCAAAAUAUAUUUAUUAAGCACCUAGUGACCAAGACAGAAAAAAGUUACUAUUGACCUUCAAAUCACCAAAUCUAAUGAUCAUUCCUUACUGCUCAUCUUCCUCCACCAUUGCUACCUUAGAGGCCUCCCGUGCCUGCCUCCAUUUCCCAGACUUACUGCUUGAUUCUCCCUGGCAAGCUUUCCCUUCACCAUUUUUUUUUCAGCACUUGUAAGGAACUGAAUCUGUCCCCAAUAGUACACAGUUUGAGUUAGAGCCAGGACUAGAACUCAGGCCUGCAUAUAAUCAAAGAUCAGAAAACGGCCAAAUCUUGGUGUUUCUAUUCACAGGGAGGAAACCCAGAUGGGCCUACUCACAAUACAUGCUUCCAAAUGAAAGAACGUUUUUCCCCCUAAGGACAUUGUUAGGACACUGUCUAGCUAGAAGAUAUUCAGAGAAAAUUCACUCCUUUACCUGCCCUAGGGAAAUGGGAAAAUUCAAUGUUUGAGCCAUUUACCCAAAAGAGUAAUCCAUGCUGGAAAUUUUGCUGAAAGUAUUCUUUUAAAAGGCCCUUCUGUCUUUAUUAUGACGAUAAGACUGCUGAGUCUGCCCAAGCAUAUGAGGUUGCAAAGAAUAUUUCUUUUUAUUCAGACCUUGUAUUCUCUACAUGAUGAAAGGAUUCUUGGCACAUAGUUGGCAAUUACUAUCUAGGUUUUCUGCAUAACAUAGGUUUUUUAAACUAAGCUUUUAACUCAAUAGACAUCAGGCUCCAAUGAAAAUACAUGUGGCCUAACACGAGCAGAAAUAAACACAAUUCUAAUCAACUUAACUGUUGACAAAAGCAUGUGGUUUCAUUGCUUGCGGCCAAAGUUGUAAGAGUGGACUCUGAUUUCUUGCAGGAACACCCCUCAUUUAUGUGUGCAAAUAGGGUAAUUAAGUGUCCAAUUACCAGAUUUGCAUUGGCAAAUGGGGGCUUUGUGUGGGUAAAAUUCUCCAUGGUUUGGGACCAGCUGAAACUUAGGUCUUUUCUUUUUGGAUCAAUCCCCCAACAAUAACACGGGCAUGAUGAAGUUCCCUUCUUGUCCUGAUCUGAAGCCAUGGCUGAAGACUUCCCUUAUUUUGGUAAUUCAGUGAAGCGGAGAGCCAAAGUUAGGAUCUGGGGCCUUUUCUUCCUUACUGUCUACUCUGAAAAAUAAUUAAGCAUUUCAAGUAUUUUCAGACUGACUUUUUUUUUUUCCUGCUGGCUCUGUAGAAUUGAUUACUAAGGUGAAAUACUUGUAAAUAUUCCUUUUAAAAAUUUAACCAUAUGGAAGCAUUAAGUUGAAAGACACUUCAUAAAACAACUUUAUUCUUUUCU